rnacentral:rRNA from 1 species
CAGAGGUCCCAAGCGUUGUUCGGAUUCACUGGGCGUAAAGGGUGCGUAGGUGGUAAGGCAAGUCAGGUGUGAAAUCUCCGGGCUCAACCCGGAAAUGGCAUUCGAAACUACCUUGCUAGAGGAUUUGAGGGGGGACUGGAAUACUUGGUGUAGCAGUGAAAUGCGUAGAUAUCAAGUGGAACACCAGUGGCGAAGGCGAGUCCCUGGAAAUUCCUGACACUGAGGCACGAAAGCUAGGGGAGCAAACAGGAUUAGAUACCCUGGUAGUCCUAGCCCUAAACGGUGCUUGCUUGCUGUAAGAGGAAUCGACCCCUCUUGUGGCGGAGCUAACGCGUUAAGCAAGCCGCCUGGGAAGUACGGUCGCAAGAUUA